AUUGAACGCUGGCGGCAGGCUUAACACAUGCAAGUCGAGCGGAGCGGCGGACGGGUGAGUAAUGUCUGGGAAACUGCCUGAUGGAGGGGGAUAACUACUGGAAACGGUAGCUAAUACCGCAUACUAUCAGAUGAGCCUAGGUCGGAUUAGCUAGUUGGUGGGGUAAAGGCGUACCAAGGCGACGAUCCUUAGCUGGUCUGAGAGGAUGAUCAGGCACACUGGAACGGAGACACGGUCCAGACUCCUACGUGAGGCAGCAGUGGGGAAUAUUGGACAAUGGGCGAAAGCCUGAUCCAGCCAUGCCGCGUGUGUGAAGAAGGUCUUCGGAGUGUAAAGCACUUUAAGUUUGGAGGCGUUACCAACAGAAUAAGCACCGGCUAACUUCGUGCCAGCAGCCGCGGUAAUAC
rnacentral:rRNA from 1 species